UAACUAAACUCAAGACAUCUUCUGUGCUCAGCAUCUUCUGUAUCUGCCAAAGGAAAGCAGAUGAGGCAUGUUACCAGAAUUCCAAGAUUGCCUGUCAAGAUGUAAUAUUUUGGGGAGGUAUAAGAAAACGAGCAUGGAGCUGAAAAAAGGGAGAAUGGAAACACAUGCCUCACUGUAUGUAUCUGUUUAUCAGCCCAACCCCAAAUCAGCUUUGUUUGGCAAUAGUGGCCUCUUUCCUAAACACAGAUGAUGGAAAUUGCCAAAACUGUCAAACUAUCAGGACGAUGAAAAGAAUCGAAGAUGGAAGAUGAGAUGCUCUAUUUCACACAUACGCCCUCUAGAAGGGCUGGCAAAGGCAACCACUUAAAUUAAGCACAGGUCAUCAGACAAGAUAUUUAAUCUAUUCCUAAGACAGACAACUUCCACAGCUGAAAUCCCUAUGGCCUUUAAAGCAACACAAUGAACUACUUUGUCGUGUACUCCUGUCAAGUCACGUUAGGUUCCUUGGUUUUUAGAAGUGAUAUUUCAUGUACUCUUAUGAGCAAAUUGCUCAGAGCAAGGAAAAGUGUUUUGGUUUAUUUAUGACCUAGUAACCUUAAAUAAAGAAAAAGAAGAAGUUUCAGCCCAUGUGAAUGUUCUCAGAAGCCUGAAGAUAUGAAAUGUACAUAAAAUAAAUCUGGCAUUUGUAGCACAGACUAGCAAAGGCACACAUGGCCAAUCCACAGGGUUUCUUUAAAAAAAGAAGAUGGAAACCAGAUGAUGGAAGAAGAAGGGGAGAAAGUCACUCUUAACUAAUAAAUAAUGUAAAAUGCAGACUAUAGAACUGAAAGUUUAGAAGAGAGCACAGAUUUUCAGAUUGCAGUCAAGGUGAGAAAUAAACAGAAGAAUGGAUGGUAGUACUGAGCUUUCAAAUAUGUUAUUAGUAAAAAGAGAAAAAAAUGGAAACAAAAAGCAGCCAGCUUUAUUGUUAGGAGAUAGAAUCUCAGGGAACGACAACUAAGGAACUCAUUUGCCUGGUUGAUAUCAUGGAAGUAAAAUAAUAAACUGGGGGCGGGAGGAGUUACAGGAAGAAGAAAGUGACUGAAAAAUAAAUACAGAAAGGAAGGAUAUUAUAGUGAUAUGUUAA